rnacentral:rRNA from 1 species
GGGAUAACCGGGAGAAAUUCCGACUAAUACCGCAUACGUCCUCCGGGGGCAUCCCUGGGGGAUGAAAGAGUUAUCGGUGAAGGAUGGGCAUGCGUGAUAUUAGGUAGUUGGCGGGGCAACGGCCCACCAAGCCCACGAUAUCUAGGGGUUCUGAGAGGAAGGUCCCCCACAUUGGUACUGAGACACGGACCAAACUCCUACGGGAGGCAGCAGUGAGGAAUAUUGGUCAAUGGACGAGAGUCUGAACCAGCCAAGUCGCGUGAAGGAAGACGGAUCUAUGGUUUGUAAACUUCUUUAGUGCGGGAACAAAGCGGCGUCGAGACGCCUGAUGAGUGUACCGCAAGAAUAAGCAUCGGCUAACUCCGUGCCAGCAGCCGCGGUAAUACGGAGGAUGCGAGCGUUAUCCGGAUUUAUUGGGUUUAAAGGGAGCGCAGGCUGCGAGGCAAGUCAGCGGUCAAAUGUCGGGGCUCAACCCCGGCCUGCCGUUGAAACUGUCCUGCUAGAGUUCGAGUGAGGUAUGCGGAAUGCGUUGUGUAGCGGUGAAAUGCAUAGAUAUGACGCAGAACUCCGAUUGCGAAGGCAGCAUACCAACUCGCGACUGACGCUGAGGCUCGAAAGCGUGGGUAUCGAACAGGAUUAGAUACCCUGGUAGUCCACGCAGUAA